rnacentral:rRNA from 1 species
AGAGUUUGAUCCUGGCUCAGGAUGAACGCUGGCGGCGUGCCUAACACAUGCAAGUCGAGCGAGAAGUAAAGAAAUGAAGCUUCGGUAGAUUUUCAUUAUGGAAAGCGGCGGACGGGUGAGUAACGCGUAGGCAACCUGCCCUGUACAGGGGGAUAGCCACCCGAAAAGGUGAUUAAUACCCCAUGAUGCAAGAGAUACACAUGUAUCACUUGUCAAAGAUUUAUCGGUAUGGGAUGGGCCUGCGUCUGAUUAGCUAGUUGGUAGGGUAACGGCUUACCAAGGCAACGAUCAGUAGCCGACCUGAGAGGGUGAUCGGCCACAUUGGAACUGAGACACGGUCCAAACUCCUACGGGAGGCAGCAGUGGGGAAUAUUGCACAAUGGGGGAAACCCUGAUGCAGCAACGCCGCGUGAAGGAAGAAGGCCUUCGGGUUGUAAACUUCUGUCCUAGGGGAAGAAACAAAUGACAUUACCCUUGGAGGAAGCCCCGGCUAACUACGUGCCAGCAGCCGCGGUAAUACGUAGGGGGCGAGCGUUAUCCGGAAUUAUUGGGCGUAAAGAGUGCGUAGGUGGCAUCUUAAGCGCAGGGUUUAAGGCAAUGGCUCAACCAUUGUUCGCCUUGCGAACUGGGGUGCUUGAGUGCAGGAGGGGAAAGUGGAAUUCCUAGUGUAGCGGUGAAAUGCGUAGAUAUUAGGAGGAACACCAGUGGCGAAGGCGACUUUCUGGACUGUUACUGACACUGAGGCACGAAAGCGUGGGGAGCAAACAGGAUUAGAUACCCUGGUAGUCCACGCCGUAAACG